rnacentral:tRNA from 3 species
UGGCAUAUAGUUCAAUGGUAGAAUAAUUGACUCAUGGAUCAAUAUAAUGACGGUUCGAUUCCGUCUAUGCCAA